rnacentral:rRNA from 1 species
UGGGGAAUUUUGGACAAUGGGGGAAACCCUGAUCCAGCCAUCCCGCGUGUGCGAUGAAGGCCUUCGGGUUGUAAAGCACUUUUGGCAGGAAAGAAACGUCAUGGGUUAAUACCCCGUGAAACUGACGGUACCUGCAGAAUAAGCACCGGCUAACUACGUGCCAGCAGCCGCGGUAAUACGUAGGGUGCAAGCGUUAAUCGGAAUUACUGGGCGUAAAGCGUGCGCAGGCGGUUCGGAAAGAAAGAUGUGAAAUCCCAGAGCUCAACUUUGGAACUGCAUUUGUAACUACCGGGCUAGAGUGUGUCAGAGGGAGGUGGAAUUACGCGUGUAGCAGUGAAAUGCGUAGAUAUGCGGAGGAACACCGAUGGCGAAGGCAGCCUCCUGGGAUAACACUGACGCUCAUGCACGAAAGCGUGGGGAGCAAACAGG